GAAUCCGGUCUGCUUCAAGGUGCAGAAGGGCGUAAGCCUUUCAGUUAAACGGGAAACAGGUAAGGAAGCAUUAACUCCAAAGCCUGUGCUGCCCCCGCAACGGUAAGCAAGUGUGGGUCCGUCGAAAUGCCACUGUGCGCAAGCAUGGGAAGGCGGCGAAUCAAAACUUGUGAGCCCGGAUACCGGCCUUGAGCGAGGUUCAGGA
rnacentral:ncRNA from 2 species